GCCUGGGUAGCUCAGAUGGUAGAGCAUCAGACUUUUAAUCUGAGGGUCCAGGGUUCAAGUCCCUGUUCAGGCG
rnacentral:tRNA from 1 species